rnacentral:lncRNA from 1 species
AAAAACCACUAUCUACUUGCUCAAUUAUAAUUACAAUUAAUAAUUAACUUAUAUAGAAAGAGUUUAAAUCAUUUUUAAUGCUUUCAUUUCUAAUUCUAUUGUAAAUUCAAAGAGGGAUCUACAUUGAUUAAUGUGUGCAUAAUAUUAUAGUAAAAGAUAAAAACUUUUUGUCCCUGCUUCAAAUUUCUAUUUUCAGCAUAAAGAAGGUUUUAAUCUCACAGUUAAAUAGCUAUGGACAGGAAAUAAUUUAUUGUUUAAGGGAGUCUUCAUAUAUCAAUUUUAUUACUUUCAACCCAUGUACUGUUAACUUUUAUUGGAGGCUUUUGUCUAGUAAUUAAAUUUUCACACCUAGCAAUGCCAGGUGAUAGGUAAAAAGACCCAUGUAACUUCAUUUACCUGUAGUUUUAUUUACCUUUAAUUUUAAUUACCUGUAAAAUCAUUCAUUUUGAAUAAAAAUAUAUUGAUAUAAACAUGUUGAAAUAAAAUAUAAAUUUGUAUAUAUAUAUAUAUAUCUUAAGUAUGCAAUAUCAUGAAAACUAAAUUUUAAAUCAGUAAGAAUAAGUGUUAUAAAUGAAUAAAACAUAUCAAAUUCAUUAAUUUUAUAAGCUGACACAUUAUAUUUGACUUUUUAUCAAGAUUUUACUUCAAUUAAUAGUAGAAACAACCAUGAAAAUUUCAAUUGACCAGUAUUUGCCAGUAUUGACCACUUGGGGAGUAUUGUCCGGGGCGGUAAAUACCGGUAAAUACCACUGGUAAAUACCGGGGGUGGUAUUUACCACCCAACCUUGAAGUCUAAGCUCCUUUAUGUAUUGGGGUUUUUCAUCAACACAAUAUUGAAUAUUCAGGCAUAAUCACAUUAUAUCAACCUCAGAUGUUUUUCCAUCUUAAGUAUGUGCUAGCUGUUUUAUUUAGUUUAUUGAUCACUGACGAGCAAUUGUACAUUUUAUUUAUGUCCCGUUUUAAACGUUCUUCCAGUUUUUUAUUUUCUCACAACUUAUAUAAACUGCAACUGGUGUCACUAGUUGGACAGUAACUAAUUACCUUUCUAGAUCCCAUAUGAUAACCCUACAGUUUAGUUGGGGUAGGCAUGGGCCGGUUAAGUGUUUAGAUUUUUAUGUGAAAUUUAGGUGCUGUAAGAAAGUUUUGCCAGUACUUUCACCUAUUUGCCAGACCUUCUUUAAAAAAAAAAAAUAAUAAGUAGUUCCCAGAUUUGAGAUAUACCUUUCACUUUUUACAACUGAUUUCGUUUUUGACGUAACCCCGUGUUUAUCUAUCUAGCAAUGUUCUCGUUAAGGUAUGCAAACACGCACGUGCGUUUGAUGGAUGCUUCAUAAAAACACUAGCUGAGUUUUGUUAUUAUCAUAACUUUCCCUAAGCUAUCAAAAAGAAAGAAGAUGAAAACAUGCGGACAU